CAAAGAAUAAGAUAGUUGAAGUUAAGUGAGUUAUUUGUUAUAUCGACAUUUGGCUUUACCCUCAAACAAACAGUACCGUAGUGGCAGGGCCACUUUUGGGUAAUGGAUUAUGCUAAAGCAACUUUGAAACAAAAAAAUAAUGCUUUGGUUCCAAGAAGAAACCACUCUCAAGUAAAAAAAGAACAGGAAGCUCUACAUCAUUUUAUAAAAAAUAAUCCAAAUGACCGCAAUUCCAAUAGAGGGCCUGAAACAAGGCCUACCUGUAGAAAUCCUUCAAAAGCAUUUAAUACACCAUUUCCUCGUGAGGAGACAAAAUAUGGCUCCUCAAGACGUAUAUGUAAUAUACCAAUACUUUCGAAAAAGCUACAUUUUCUAAAUGUUAAAGAACUUACACAUGAAGACAAAGUGGAAAAAAUAAAACUUUACUUGGAUAAAUCUCAAUCUCCAUUUAUUUGGAGGCCCAAACA